GAUGAACGCUGGCGGCGUGCCUAAUACAUGCAAGUCGAACGAGGAUGUAGCAAUACGUCCUAGUGGCGAACGGGUGAGUAACGCGUUGGUGACCUACCCCAAAGUCUGGGAUAACCCCGCGAAAGCGGGGCUAAUACCGGAUGUGGUCAUCGGGAUUAGAAUCCGAUGUCUAAAGGAGCAAUUCGCUUUGGGAGGGGCCUGCGUCCCAUCAGCUAGUUGGUAGGGUAACGGCCUACCAAGGCGACGACGGGUAGGGGACCUCAGAGGGUGGCCCCCCACAAUGGAACUGAAACACGGUCCAGACACCUACGGGUGGCAG
rnacentral:rRNA from 1 species